GACGAACGCUGGCGGCGUGCUUAACACAUGCAAGUCGAGCGGUAAGGCCCUUUCGGGGGUACACGAGCGGCGAACGGGUGAGUAACACGUGGGUGACCUGCCCUCCACUCUGGGAUAAGCCCGGGAAACUGGGUCUAAUACCGGAUAGGACCACUGAUCGCAUGGUUGGUGGUGGAAAGUUUUUUCGGUGGGGGAUGGGCCCGCGGCCUAUCAGCUUGUUGGUGGGGUGAUGGCCUACCAAGGCGGUGACGGUUAGCCGGCCUGAGAGGGCGACCGGCCACACUGGGACUGAGACACGGCCCAGACUCCUACGGGAGGCAGCAGUGGGGAAUAUUGCGCAAUGGGCGGAAGCCUGACGCAGCGACGCCGCGUGGGGGAUGACGGCCUUCGGGUUGUAAACCUCUUUCGCCAGGGACGAAGAGCAAUUAACGGUACCUGGAGAAGAAGCACCGGCCAACUACGUGCCAGCAGCCGCGGUAACACGUAGGGUGCGAGCGUUGUCCGGAAUUAUUGGGCGUAAAGAGCUCGUAGGCGGUGUGUCGCGUCGGCCGUGAAAUCUUGGGGCUUAACUCUGAGCGUGCGGUCGAUACGGGCAUCACUUGAGUUCGGCAGGGGAGACUGGAAUUCCUGGUGUAGCGGUGAAAUGCGCAGAUAUCAGGAGGAACACCGGUGGCGAAGGCGGGUCUCUGGGCCGAUACUGACGCUGAGGAGCGAAAGCGUGGGGAGCGAACAGGAUUAGAUACCCUGGUAGUCCACGCCGUAAAC
rnacentral:rRNA from 1 species